rnacentral:misc_RNA from 1 species
UUUUUAAUAUAUUGAGCCAGGACACAAUAAUGAUUUGAUGAUCAAAAUUAAUUAUGUUUGGAAUAAUUGUUUUUACAAAGUUAAAAUCAAAAUUAUUCAGGAAAAGGAAGUGUUUGGUUGAAUUAUUAUUUUGAUCAACUACAAAGGAAACGCAAAAAUAAUGUGAGGGUAUCCUGUGGCUUUCCAUAGUAUUGAUAAGUUCGGCAUUUAAAACGAAAAUGCCAAUCGAAAUAGGAAAUAGUAGAGCAAUGAAACUGAAAAUGUUACAAAGCAGAACAAACUAACGGACAAUAUUAUGAAAUAGACUGAUUUCUUUCAGCAUCAUUCAUUGGAAAUACAAAUCCCUUGGAUUGUACUAUUUAAGAACGAAAGAUGUCAAAUUCAAAGUUAAAAUUAACUGGAGAAAACACAAACCUGGCUCGUGUGGCACAGAUGAUACUGGGUCCAUGCACUAACGUACUACGUGAUGUUCUUAGGAAGAAAAUUUCUCCGUCCAAUUUGGAAACGAAAGUCAGAGCCUACAUUGCUAAAACAAAGAAACCACUGAUCAACCUGCACCAAGAGACACUCGUCUACAGUAAAGAUUACUUAAAAUUCGAUGUUACGUUACUGUACUUUUUAUUACGGAAUAUGUGCUCAAUCCAACCGCAUUCAAACAAAUGGGGAAACAACCCACAUUCCGGAGAUAGAAGUGUGUCAGGAAACAUCGAACGGAUUCGUCUGAUAAGAAAUGAAUAUGGACAUCAUUCGGAAAGAUCUAUCUCCGAUAUAGACUUUAAAAUAAAAUACAAAUAUAUUAAGGGCAUUGUUCGAGAGAUGGAGAACUACUUAGGUAGUUCUACUAAAUACCAGGACGAAGUAAAGGAACUGAAAACUUGUACCAUGGAUCCUACACAAAGCGAAAAAAAUAUCAAAGAACUUCUUGACCUUCAUGAAAAAAUUAAAGAUAUUUCAGGGGAUGUCGAAGAAAUGAAGAAGACAGUUCUUCCUUGGAAUAUAAAAGUAAUAUAUGGAGAGGACGUCCGAAAAUGGAAAGAAGAUGACGUUUUUUUUGUGGAAACCCAUAACUUUCAAGUGAUGCUUAACAAAGUUAGACAAUGUCCGUUUGUGACGUUUGUUGGUGUCCCUGGCUCAGGAAAGACUACUACAGCCCGUCAUAUCGCACUUUUACUGCAAGAAAAGGAUGGGUAUGAAAUAUUACCAACCAAAGACAUAAAGGACAUUGAAACGUAUUGUGACCCUCGCAAUCCACAAGUGUUUGUUAUUGAUGAUGUCCUAGGUGUGUUUGGGUUUGACAUGAAGGAAUUUGAGAAGCUCACGAAUUAUAAAGAUAGAUUAAAUGAACCUAUAAUGCCAGAAACCAAGGUUCUUAUGACAUGCCGGGAGGUAGUUUUUAAACAUGAAGCUUUCUCAGGAUCCAUUUUGUCAAAUAAAAAACACGUAGUUCAGUUACACAGCGAAGAGAAUGCUUUAAAUGAUCAAGAUAAAUAUGAUUUAUUUGCAAAAUACAACAUAGAUAAAGAUUUGUUAUCAGAAGACACUUUGUCAAAAAUAUCUAAAAGUUUUCCAUAUCUAUGCAAAUUGUUUUCAAGAAAGGAAGAGUUAGGACAUUAUGGGCCACAGUUUUUUAUUUCACCUGUUCCAUGUAUAUUAGAGCUUCUGGACGACAUGAAAAUAAGAAACAAGGCUCAUUAUGCUUCAUUAGUUUUAUUAAUGACCAAUCAAAAUUCAUUGUCAGAAAAAGAUUUUAACAGCGAAAACACGACGUAUUUUGGUCAAAUGAAGUUCAAGGUUUUAAAGAGAUGCAAAGUCGAACCUAUCACCUGUAGUUUUUUCUUUAUUGAUGCGUUGACUGAAAUGGAAGGGACUUACACCGACCAACGUCAAAGGGGGUUUACAUUUAUUCACGAUUCAAUGCUUGAAAUAGUCGCUUAUCAUUUUGGUCGUCACUUUCCAGAACUAAUUUUGCAAUAUAUGGAUAGUGAUUACAUCGCUAAUUAUAUCAAACCAGAAAAAUUCAAAUGUAGGAAACGUAAAAGAGAAGAAGACAAAUUAAAACAAUCAGUCGAUGCGAAGGAAGACAGUGAUACAGUUGCCAGCGAAGAAUAUGUGCAUGAUUUGUGUAUAAAACUACAGGAGUCCCAUUACCAUUUACUUGCUGAUCGUUUGUUUGACGAUAUACAUAAAGGCGAGUUGUUUAAUGUUUUUGAAAACGAAGCGAUAAAAAAUCCGUUUGUGCUUCAGAAGUUUUUGGAUGUGAUGAAAAAAAUGAAUCAGAUAUUGAUGAAAACAGUGGAGGGAGAUGUGAUGUGUCAGAAGAUGAAUCAUGGUCUGAUUUGUGCUCUGAAAAAAGUGAUGAAUCUUUUGGUACCGAGCCAGUCUUUAUUGAGAAACGCCGCCUACUUAAUCUUAGUUGUUAUAGUGGUGACCUUCUGACUUUCCAAACUUUACUUCCAUAUCGUGAUAACGAUGUCCUUUUUUCAGAAUCAU